rnacentral:rRNA from 1 species
AUUGAACGCUGGCGGCAGGCCUAACACAUGCAAGUCGAGCGGAUGAAGAGAGCUUGCUCUCUGAUUCAGCAGCGGACGGGUGAGUAAUGCCUAGGAAUCUGCCUGGUAGUGGGGGACGACGUUUCGAAAGGAACGCUAAUACAGCAUACGUCCUACGGGAGAAAGCAGGGGACCUUCGGGCCUUGCGCUAUCAGAUGAGCCUAGGUCGGAUUAGCUAGUAGGUGAGGUAAAGGCUCACCUAGGCGACGAUCCGUAACUGGUCUGAGAGGAUGAUCAGUCACACUGGAACUGAGACACGGUCCAGACUCCUACGGGAGGCAGCAGUGGGGAAUAUUGGACAAUGGGCGAAAGCCUGAUCCAGCCAUGCCGCGUGUGUGAAGAAGGUCUUCGGAUUGUAAAGCACUUUAAGUUGGGAGGAAGGGCAGUAAGUUAAUACCUUGCUGUUUUGACGUUACCAACAGAAUAAGCACCGGCUAACUUCGUGCCAGCAGCCGCCGCGGUAA